ACGUAGGGGGCAAGCGUUGUACGGAAUUAAUGGGCGUAAAGGGAAUGUAGGCGGUUUAGUAAGCUUGGCGUGAAAGACCACAGAUCAACUGUGGGGUUGCGUUGAGAACUGCUGAACUUGAGUUACGGAGAGGGAGGUAGAAGUCCUGGUGUAGGGGUUGUAUGCGUAGAAAUCAGGAAGGAUACCGAUGGCGAAGGCUAGGUGCUGGCCGAUAACUGUCGCUGAGGUACGAAAGUGUUGGGAUCAUACAG
rnacentral:rRNA from 1 species